AAUCUUCCACAAUGGACGGAAGGCGGAUGGAGCAACGCCGCGUGAGCGAAGAAGGUUUUCGGAUCGUAAGGCUCUGUUGUAAGGGAAGAACACGUACGGGAGUCACUGCCCGUUCCUUGACGGUACCUUAUCAGAAAGGCACGGCUAACUUCGUUCCUGCAGCCGCGGUAAUACGUAGGUGGCAAGCGUUGUCCGGAAUUAUUGUGCGUAAAGCGCGCGCAGGCGGUCCUUUAAGUCAGAUGUGAAAGCCCACGGCUCAACCGUGGAGGGUAAUUGGAAACUGGAGGACUUGAGUACAGAAGAGGAAAGCGGAAUUCCACGUGUAGCGGUGAAAUGCGUAGAGAUGUGGAGGAACACCAGUGGCGAAGGCGGCUUUCUGGUCUGUAACUGACGCUGAGGCGCGAAAGCGUGGGGAGCAAAC
rnacentral:rRNA from 1 species